UGUAGUAUACUAUGUAUACACUUUUUAAAACCAAGAUUAUAGGAUCUUGCAACUUGAGGUGCCAUAAUGAAAUGUACAAGGCAUUUCUUGAUCAUGGGAAUCUGAUUUUAUUCUGUUAUGCUCACGUACUUGGUUUAACUCGUGUGGUUUUCUUAUUGAGCAUCUGCAAAAUGAUAUAUCAUAUAUGAUUGUUGGACACGGAAUUUCUUAUAACUAAAAUGUGGUCGCAUUUGCAGCAAUGACUGGAUGAUGUCUCUUUUGAGAAUUACAGAGCUAGGCCAAUUGCAAAGCUAUUGGAGAAAGAUCCAUCCUUCCAUUAUGAAACCAAUUGAUAUUGGUUACAGAUUACCGAUAAAAUGAAGCAGAACGACUCAGAAGCAUUCAGAAGGACGAUGUCAUGAACUGGUACAAAAACAAAUUUGCAACAGUCAUCUCCCAAGUGUCGGAGACUGACUUGCAAUUCGUGUUUGGGGAUGCGAAACAGACUUGAAAUAUGCUGAAGCACGGCCGGAGUCUGUACAAGUCAUUGAAGACCUUGCAGCCUUUAAGAUGCCUUUAAAAUGCUCAUUUGUUGAAAAUUUAUAGAUGGUUUCUGAAUUUUUGAUGGAAACUGAGCAUUUUGAGGUCUUAUUGUUU